GACGAACGCUGGCGGCGUGCUUAACACAUGCAAGUCGAACGGAAAGGCCCUGCUUUUGUGGGGUGCUCGAGUGGCGAACGGGUGAGUAACACGUGAGUAACCUGCCCUUGACUUUGGGAUAACUUCAGGAAACUGGGGCUAAUCCCGUAUCGGAUCUCCUGCUGCAUGGUGGGGGUUGGAACGUUUCGGCGGUUGGGGAUGGAAUCGCGGCUUUUCAGCUUGUUGGUGGGGUAGUGGCUUACCAAGGCUUUGACGGGUAGCCGGCCUGAGAGGGUGACCGGCGACAUUGGGACUGAGAUACGGCCCAGACUCCUACGGGAGGCAGCAGUGGGGAAUAUUGCACAAUGGGCGGAAGCCUGAUGCAGAAACGCCGCGUGCGGGAUGACGGCCUUCGGGUUGUAAACCGCUUUCGCCUGUGACGAAGCGUGAGUGACGGUAAUGGGUAAAGAAGCACCGGCUAACUACGUG
rnacentral:rRNA from 1 species